UACGGGGGGGGCAAGCGUUGUUCGGAAUUACUGGGCGUAAAGGGCUCGUAGGCGGCCAACUAAGUCAGACGUGAAAUCCCCGGGCUCAACCCGGGAACUGCGUCCGAUACUGGAUGGCUUGAAUCCGGGAGAGGGAUGUGGAAUUCCAGGUGUAGCGGUGAAAUGCGUAGAUAUCUGGAGGAACACCGGUGGCGAGGGCGGCAUCCUGGACCGACACUGACACUGAGGAGCGAAAGCCAGGGGAGCAAACGGG
rnacentral:rRNA from 1 species